AUUGAACGCUGGCGGCAGGCCUAACACAUGCAAGUCGAACGAGUGGCGGACGGGUGCGUAAUGUCUGGGAAUCUGCCUGAUGGAGGGGGAUAACUACUGGAAACGGUAGCUAAUACCGCAUACCACCGUUUGUGCCCAGAUUGGAUUAGCUAGUAGGUGGGGUAACGGCUCACCUAGGCAACGAUCCCUAGCUGGUCUGAGAGGAUGACCAGCCACACUGGAACUGAGCCACGGUCCAGACGCCUACGGGAGGCAGCAGUGGGGAAUAUUGCACAAUGGGCGCAAGCCUGAUGCAGCCAUGCCGCGUGUGUGAAGAAGGCCUUCGGGUUGUAAAGCACUUUCAGCGGGGAGGCGUUACCCGCAGAAGAAGCACCGGCUAACUCCGUGCCAGCAGCCGCGGUAAUUC
rnacentral:rRNA from 1 species